AUACUUACCUGGCAUAGGGGAUCCCGUGAUCAAGAAGGCGGUUCCCCCAGGGCGAGACUCUUCCAUUGCACUGCGGUUGGGUUGACCCUUGCGAUUAUCCCUAAUGUGGAUAACUCGGAUGCGUAAUUUUUGGUAGUGGGGGGACUGCGUACGCGCUGUCCCCCC